rnacentral:rRNA from 1 species
AACGAACGCUGGCGGCAUGCCUAACACAUGCGAGUCGAACGAGACCUUCGGGUUUGGUGGCGAACGGGUGCGUAACGCGUGGGAACAUGCCCUUAGGUUCGGCAUAACUCCCCGAAAGGGGUUCUAAUAACGGAUACUGUUUUCGGACCAAAGAUGUAUCGCCUUUGGGUGGGCCGGCGUUGGUUUAGCUAGUUGGUAGGGUAAACGCCUACCAAGGCGACGAUCCAUAGCUGGGCUGAGAGGAGGAUCAGCCACACUGGGACUGAGACACGGCCCAGACGCCUACGGGAGGCAGCAGAGGGGAAUAUAGGAGAGUGGGCGUAAGGCUGAUCCAGCAAGGGCGCGUGAGUGAUGAAGGCCUUAGGGUUGGAAAGCGCUUUUACCCGAGAUGAUAAUGACAGUACCGGGAGAAUAAGCACCGGCUAACUCCGUG